GUCUGAUUCAAAGAUACCGGAUUUCCAGGCUGGCUCUGAGCACGGCUACAAUGCCGCAGUUGCAGCCCUGUCCGGCGCUAACGUCAUCUACGAGGCC
rnacentral:ncRNA from 1 species